rnacentral:rRNA from 1 species
AGUGAACGCUGGCGGUAGGCCUAACACAUGCAAGUCGAACGGCAGCACAGUAAGAGCUUGCUCUUACGGGUGGCGAGUGGCGGACGGGUGAGGAAUACAUCGGAAUCUACUUUUUCGUGGGGGAUAACGUAGGGAAACUUACGCUAAUACCGCAUACGACCUACGGGUGAAAGCAGGGGAUCAUCGGACCUUGCGCGAUUCAAUGAGCCGAUGUCGGAUUAGCUAGUUGGCGGGGUAAAGGCCCACCAAGGCGACGAUCCGUAGCUGGUCUGAGAGGAUGAUCAGCCACACUGGAACUGAGACACGGUCCAGACUCCUACGGGAGGCAGCAGCGGGGAAUAUUGGACAAUGGGCGAAAGCCUGAUCCAGCAAUACCGCGUGGGUGAAGAAGGCCUUCGGAUUGUAAAGCCCUUUUGUUAGGAAAGAAAAGCAGCAGGUUAAUACCCCGCUGUUCUGACGGUACCCAAAGAAUAAGCACCGGCUAACUUCGUG